GGGAGAUGGCAGUUCACGCAUGCUAUGAAGUUUUUGGAGCCACAUGUCCAGCCAAGAAGGUCAGUCAGUUUUCAGUACUUCUGGGAAUUUGACAACGGAUUCAAGUGAAAUUGAUGAAGAAGGAUCUUCUGAGAAAGUUCAGUUGUCAAUUCAGUCGCCUAGUUAUACAGAUUCAAUCGAUUAUACCAAUUCGACUCCAAAACGCCCCGCAAAAAUACACCUGAUAAAAUAGAUGAGGCCAUCCUGGAAUGUGUGAGAGAUAGCAAAACGAGGCAAGGAUGAGAGAAACCGAGGCAAGGAUGAAAGAAGCAGGUCGUUUGUCAAAUGCGAAAUACAGAGAAUGUGCAUGAGGCCAAAUAUGGGAAUCUAGGCACGUAACAU